rnacentral:lncRNA from 1 species
AAUAACAUUAUAUAAUAAUGAUCACACUAUACCAACAAAAAAAAUACUCCAUAUACUAAGCUACUGUUUACUUCAUGAUUUGACAAAGACGAAAUUAAAAUAACACGAUCGGAAUAACAUCCAUCAUAAAGUAUAAAAGCCAAUUAAACAAGCAACUAAAUUUAUGAAAAUUACUAGUAUAUACUAUAUAUAUAUAGUAUGAAUACAAACGGCUAUAUAUAUAUAUACGUAGCUGCAACAUCAAGGCUGACUUGUCCUCACCUCAGCCGGCGGGCCUCCCGGAAUCACAGGUGGCAGGAACGGAACAGGAGGCAAAGGCAUCGGAGGUAGAGGAACCGGAAGAGCUGGCGGCGGCAGCGGCGGCGACGGAACCAGCCCCGGAAUUGGCGGUAUGGGUAAGGGUAAGGAAGGCGGCGAGAAGGGCGGCGUUGGGAGAACCGGAGGAAUGAGUGACGGCGGAGGAGUUGGCAGAACCGGCGGAAUCAAGGAAGGCGGCGGCAGAAGGGGGUUGGGAGGCAAUAAGCCGGGAUUCAAUGGAUUUGGUGGCAAUAUGAAAAACUUGCUCUCUUUCUCGUUGCAGACUUGAGGCUUGAAUGUGAAGAGCCCCGCUGAGAAGAUCUGCUCCCUUCCGUUCCUCGACUUGAGGCGCAGCGACGACGAAGACGACGACGUGGCAGCGGCGCAGGACGGCUCAUUGCUGCGGACGAGUGAGACGGAGCAGCCUCGGAUUGUCUUGACGUGUUUGCCGACGGAGAAAGGGAGCUCAACUCGGAACUCUCCUCGGCUGUUCGUCUCCACCUCCUGCCGGAACCGAGGCCUCGAGCUCGAGCUCUUGCAUUCCACUGCAACAGUUGCACCUAUAUAUGUAACACGGUUAAUAACCAAUUAGGUCUGGGGAAUC